GUCUGGAUAACUAUAGUGGUCUUUUAAGUCAUUUAUUGUUUAAUAUCCACAUGGAUUCUCUCUUUCCCUGACUUCCAGUGGGGAUCCUUUCACUGCCGGACGGCCAAACGGUCACUGGAGGCAGCAAGGGAGCCGUAUUCUGUCUGCUCUGCUUCUUCGCGUGCCACUUAGUGAUCCCGGGGGCCAGAGGAACGUCAUAGUACGGUUAGG